GGCUGUGGUAGCCCAGCGGUUAAGAUGUUGGACUACUGAUCAGAAGGUUAUGAGUUUAAAUCCCACUGCUGUCA